CCAAGGGUGGCAGAAGGGUUAUGCGGCGGUCUGUAAAACCGUUUUACGUAGGUUCAACUCCUACCCCUUGGACCA
rnacentral:tRNA from 1 species